CCUACGGGCGGCUGCAGUGAGGAAUAUUGGUCAAUGGGCUUACGCCUGAACCAGCCAAGUCGCGUGAGGGAAGACUGCCCUAUGGGUUGUAAACCUCUUUUGUCAGGGAGCAACACCGGCUACGUGUAGCCGGACGGAGAGGACCUGAAGACAAAGCAUCGGCUAACUCCGUGCCAGCAGCCGCGGUAAUACGGAGGAUGCGAGCGUUAUCCGGAUUUAUUGGGGUUAAAGGGUGCGUAGGCGGACUGCCAAGUCAGCGGUCAAAUCGCGGGGCUCAACCUCGCUCCGCCGUUGAAACUGGCGUUCUUCAGUGGGCGAGCAGUCUGCGGAAUGCGUGGUGUAGCGGUGAAAUGCAUAGAUAUCACGCAGAACUCCGAUUGCGAAGGCAGCAUACCGGCGCCCACCUGACGCUGACGCACGAAAGCGUGGGUAUCGAACAGGAUUAGAUACCCCUGUAGUC
rnacentral:rRNA from 1 species